AUCUUGCGCAAUGGGGGAAACCCUGACGCAGCGACGCCGCGUGUGGGAUGAAGGCCCUAGGGUUGUAAACCACUUUCAGCAGGGAAGAUUAUGACGGUACCUGCAGAAGAAGCCCCGGCCAACUACGUGCCAGCAGCCGCGGUAAUACGUAGGGGGCGAGCGUUGUCCGGAAUUAUUGGGCGUAAAGAGCUCGUAGGCGGUUCGGCAAGUCGGAAGUGAAAACUCCAGGCUCAACCUGGAGAGGCCUUUCGAUACUGCCGUGACUAGAAUCCGGUAGAGGAGUGUGGAAUUCCCGGUGUAGCGGUGAAAUGCGCAGAGAUCGGGAGGAACACCAGUAGCGAAGGCGGCACUCUGGGCCGGUAUUGACGCUGAGGAGCGAAAGCGUGGGGAGCGAACAGGA
rnacentral:rRNA from 1 species